AUGAACGCUGGCGGUAUGCUUAACACAUGCAAGUCGAACGGUCUCUUCGGAGAUAGUGGCGGACGGGUGAGUAACGCGUGAGAAUCUGGCUCUAGGUCUGGGACAACAGUUGGAAACGACUGCUAAUACCGGAUGUGCCGAAAGGUGAAAGGCUUGCUGCCUAGAGAUGAGCUCGCGUCUGAUUAGCUAGUAGGUGUGGUAAAAGCGCACCUAGGCGACGAUCAGUAGCUGGUCUGAGAGGAUGAUCAGCCACACUGGGACUGAGACACGGCCCAGACUCCUACGGGAGGCAGCAGUGGGGAAUUUUCCGCAAUGGGCGAAAGCCUGACGGAGCAAUACCGCGUGAGGGAGGAAGGCUCUGGGUUGUAAACCUCUUUUCUCAAGGAAUAAAAAAAUGAAGGUACUUGAGGAAUCAGCAUCGGCUAACUCCGUGCCAGCAGCCGCGGUAAUACGGAGGAUGCAAGCGUUAUCCGGAAUGAUUGGGCGUAAAGCGUCCGCAGGUGGCCCUGUAAGUCUGCUGUUAAAGAGUGAGGCUUAACCUCAUAAAAGCAGUGGAAACUACAGAGCUAGAGUGCGUUCGGGGCAGAAGGAAUUCCUGGUGUAGCGGUGAAAUGCGUAGAGAUCAGGAAGAACACCGGUGGCGAAGGCGUUCUGCUAGGCCGCAACUGACACUGAGGGACGAAAGCUAGGGGAGCGAAUGGGAUUAGAUACCCCAGUAGUCCUAGCCGUAAACGAUGGAUACUAGGCGUUGCGAGUAUCGACCCUCGCAGUGCCGGAGCCAACGCGUUAAGUAUCCCGCCUGGGGAGUACGCACGCAAGUGUGAAACUCAAAGGAAUUGACGGGGGCCCGCACAAGCGGUGGAGUAUGUGGUUUAAUUCGAUGCAACGCGAAGAACCUUACCAAGACUUGACAUGUCGCGAACUCUUCUGAAAGGAAGAGGUGCCUUCGGGAGCGCGAACACAGGUGGUGCAUGGCUGUCGUCAGCUCGUGUCGUGAGAUGCUGGGUUAAGUCCCGCAACGAGCGCAACCCUCGUUUUUAGUUGCCAGCAUUAAGUUGGGCACUCUAGAGAGACUGCCGGUGACAAACCGGAGGAAGGUGGGGAUGACGUCAAGUCAGCAUGCCCCUUACGUCUUGGGCUACACACGUACUACAAUGCGUCGAACAGAGGGCAGCAAGCUAGCGAUAGCAAGCAAAUCCCGGGAAUCGGCGCUCAGUUCAGAUCGCAGGCUGCAACUCGCCUGCGUGAAGGAGGAAUCGCUAGUAAUUGCAGGUCAGCAUACUGCAGUGAAUUCGUUCCCGGGCCUUGUACACACCGCCCGUCACACCAUGGAAGCUGGUCACGCCCGAAGUCAUUACCCCAACUUUUCGGAGAGGGGGAUGCCUAAGGUAGGACUGGUGACUGGGGUG
rnacentral:rRNA from 1 species